rnacentral:misc_RNA from 1 species
UCCGGUUUAUCACCGGCAGUCUCCACAGAGUUCUCACCAUGACGUGUUAGUAACUGUGAACAAGGGUUGCGCUCGUUGCGGGACUUAACCCAACAUCUCACGACACGAGCUGACGACAGCCAUGCAGCACCUUGCACUCUGCCAAGUUUUACCUUGGGGGCCCCAUCUCUGGGGUUGUCAGAGGCAUUCUAGCCCAGGUAAGGUUCUUCGCGUUGCGUCGAAUUAAACCACACGCUCCGCUGCUUGUGCGGGCCCCCGCCUAUUCCUUUGAGUUUUAACCUUGCGGCCGUAGUCCCCAGGCGGUGAACUUAAUGCGUUAGCUGCGGCACUGAUCGGGUCAAUCCGACCAACACCUAGUUCACAACGUUUAGGGCAUGGACUAC